AUUAACGACCUAGAUUCAAUCUCAAAUCCGGUUGCACGUAGGAUCAGCCUGGACUCAGAAGUGCUGCCAAGUUGAUUCAGGAUGGUUCAUUGGCUGAGCUUGUUCGCAAACGCUAGCAGAGUUUUGAUACAGAAAUCGGGGCACGAGUGGAGGCUGGUAAGGGAGAUUUUGAAACGCUUGAGAAGCUGGCCAUGAAAUGGGGUGAACCCAAGGUUCCAUCUGCUAAGCAGGAACUUGCUGAGAUGAUAUUCCAGUCUGCACUGUAGAAAAUGGCACAUAGACAGAUGACUAGAGGCCCCCACCCCCCUUUUUUUUUUUUUUUUAUCCUUUUUCCUUGUAUCUAAUCAUCUUCAUCGGAAAUAAUACGCAAUAGAGUUCUCACUAAUAAUAGAUGCAGCGAAUUGAACUUAAUUCUGAAGUUGGAUUCUGUUUCUUGUAAA